UGCGUAGGGUGCAAGCGUUGUCCGGAAUUAUUGGGCGUAAAGGGAGCGUAGGCGGACUUUUAAGUGAGAUGUGAAAUACCCGGGCUCAACUUGGUUGCUGCAUUUCAAACUGGAAGUCUAGAGUGCAGGAGAGGAGAAUGGAAUUCCUAGUGUAGCGGUGAAAUGCGUAGAGAUCGGGAGGAACACCAGUGGCGAAGGCGGGUAACUGGACUGCAACUGACGCUGAGGCGCGAAAGUGUGGGGAGCAAACAGGAUUAGAUACCCU
rnacentral:rRNA from 1 species